UCUUAUGUACAUUCCUAAAACAUAAACUUAAUUCACUGGAUCCCAUUUGAACUACGCAGUUAAGUGCACUUGGUCUAGACUAGUACUGGGAUGGGUGACCGCCCGAGAAGU
rfam:Picea glauca, whole genome shotgun sequence.